rnacentral:rRNA from 1 species
UACGGAGGGUGCAAGCGUUAUUCGGAAUUACUGGGCGUAAAGCGAGUGUAGGCGGUUUUGUAAGUCUGAUGUGAAAGCCCUCGACUCAAUCGAGGAAGUGCAUUGGAUACUGCAAAGCUAGAGGAUAGGAGAGGAGAACGGAAUUCCUGGUGUAGAGGUGAAAUUCGUAGAUAUCAGGAGGAACAACGGUGGCGAAGGCGGUUCUCUGGACUAUAACUGACGCUAAGACUCGAAAGCGUGGGGAGCAAACAGG